GUAGGAUAGAGGCCUACCAUGGUGGUAACGGGUAACGGGGUGUUAGGGCACGACACCGGAGAGGGAGCCUGAGAAACGGCUACCACAUCCAAGGAUGGCAGCAGGCGCGCAAAUUACCCAAUCCCGACACGGGGAGGUAGUGACAAUAAAUAACAAUACGGGGUCCUUUAGGGUUUCGUAAUUGGAAUGAGUACAAUUUAAAUCUCUUAACGAGGAACAAUUGGAGGGCAAGUCUGGUGCCAGCAGCCGCGGUAAUUCCAGCUCCAAUAGCGUAUAUUAAAGUUGUUGCAGUUAAAAAGCUCGUAGUUGAAUUUCGGGAUCAGUACGCCGGUCGUGCCUUCGGUAUGCACUGGUGUCACUGGUUUCUCCCUUCUGAAGAACCAUCAUGCCAUUCAGUUGGUGUGGCGGGAAAUCAGGACUGUUACUUUGAAAAAAUUAGAGUGUUUAAAGCAGGCUCGCGCUUGAAUACAUUAGCAUGGAAUAAUGAAAUAGGACGUUUGACCCUAUUUUGUUGGUUUCUAGGAUCGACGUAAUGAUUAAUAGGGAUAGUUGGGGGCAUUAGUAUUCAAUUGUCAGAGGUGAAAUUCUUGGAUUUAUUGAAGACUAACUACUGCGAAAGCAUUUGCCAAGGAUGUUUUCAUUAAUCAAGAACGAAAGUUAGGGGAUCGAAGACGAUCAGAUACCGUCGUAGUCUUAACCAUAAACUAUGCCGACUAGGGAUCGGAUGAUGUUAAUUUUUUAAUGACUCAUUCGGCGCCUUACGGGAAACCAAAGUGUUUGGGUUC
rnacentral:rRNA from 1 species